AAGAAGCUUAGCUUUUAUCCCUGAGUGUCCACUGGAAUAUUAUAAUCUAGUUGCUGCGAGUUACCAAGUUGGAUUUGUAUGUGCAAAGGAGCAUUUUGUCAUCACCUUGGAGAAUGAACUAGAGAGAAAAACAGGCAAGAGUGGUGGCAGAGAGAAGAGUUAGUGUUCCAACCCCCCAAAAAGAUGAUGAGGCCAUGUUCAGAGGGAUGGAUCAGGAAGAAGUAUGUAGAUAAUUAGGAGGUUAAACGGACAAGAUUUGGAAAGUGGCAGCCAUGAAAAUGUAUUCCUCAGAUCUCCUGCAGUGUGUACAGUAUAAUGGACCAAUGGCCCCAGUGUCCAUCCCACCAGGUCCACCACUUUAUUCAUGACAAGGUCGUGCUUCCCAGGGGCUGCUCCCAACCAGUGUAUGAGCAUGGCUGGGCCACCAGUGCAGGCCAUUCCUAGAGGAGGCAAGACUCCUAGUUCACAGUAACAUAGUACUAAUUAAAUGUAGGGAAAUUGGAAGAGGCAGAUUCUAAAGGAUUCUCAGGUCAAUGCUAGAAAAAAAUAAUCAUUUCUGGGGACAAUUAUAAGGACUAUGAUGAGAGUCUGGGAAAUAUCAGGUCGGUUUUGUGUAUGUUAUUUUGCAGGAUUCUAGGACACUGAGGGACAGAUUUCCCACACUCCCACCUGCGUGCUCAGUUGCGUGGACUGCAUCCUGCCAGGCUCCUCUGUCCAUGGGAUUCUCCAGGCAAAACUACUGGAGUAGGUUGCCAUUUCCUCCUCCAGGGGAUCUUCCCGACCCAGAGAUGGAACCCACGUCUCUUGCAUCUCCUGCAUUAGCAGGUGGAUUUUUUUUUUUUUUUUUUUUACCACUGGUGCCACCUGGGAAGCCCUGCAGAGAACUGCAUAUUGUGAACCAAGAAUUCAGAAGAGAGAUAUCAAUAACCAAUUGAAUGGUCUUUGGGUGGC
rnacentral:lncRNA from 1 species